rnacentral:lncRNA from 1 species
ACCUGCGAAGAUCAGAAACAUUUCCUUCAUUAAAAAUCAAACAACAUUUGCAUUCUUUGGUUUUAAAAAAACAAAAACGGGAGAUGCAGAACAAUUUCAUUCCAACUUUCAAUGCAUUCUAGGCAAAGAAAUUUUUGUUCAUAAGCUUUAAAGAAGCAGGAACAAAUUGCGCAGAAGCCUUAUCCGAUUUUUUGGUUCUAAGUUCAAUCCACGAAGGUUUCCAAUGGAAUAUUAUACGGAGUUUUCCCUACUUCAGGUAUGUUAAGGCCUUCCCUUUUUUCUUUUGGCAUAGUUCAUAUGAUACUGAAGAAACAAGCAAACACACAGUUUCUAUAAAUUACUCUAUUCAUAGAAAUAGUAGGGGUGUCUAUAUUCUUGAUUCCCCAUGAAAAAUAUUAUUAUCUUCUGUUCAUGGGCCUCAAAAUAAUACACAGUUUAAAAAGUUUAUCCAGAAGGAAUAUAUAGAUUAUUAUGUAUUUUCAUUCAUUUCACUCAUUUAUACAUGUGCAUUGACCCAUGACCAGAUAGCGUUAUAUAUGCAUAUAUAUCUAAAUAUAUGUAUAUGGGAUAUGGGAAAAUCUUACGGCAUUAUAUACGCACCACCACCUGAUCAGCUGGUAUAUGUUGAUGAUGUUGCCCAUAGUGGCCGAGAUGAUAUGAUGGGAUGCCCUCAGUGGCUUGAAGAUAUUAUGUAAACCCAUACCUAUGCAUGACACGACAUUUAUACACACGUGCAUGACAUUAUAAUUUUUUUAGAAUUUACAAAGUUAUUCAGAUUUAAAGACGUGUUUCUAUACUCCAUGUUUUAUCUAUGUCUUUUACAUACUAAUUUCCACGCCUUACUAACAGUACAUUUUUUCGCACUAACGCCCUAUUUCACGGGGCCUACGUUUCAUGCCCGCAGGGGUAGUUAGGCAAGCUGAUAGUCCCCCUUCUUAGGAUCCCUGAUCAGCGAGAGUUUGCGUGCUCCACUUGAUCCAGAGUUGUUUUUGAGUUUGGUACGAUACGUUUAUAUAUAUAUAUAUAUGUAUAUAUAUAUAUAUAUAUAUAUAUAUAUAUAGACAGUAUGUUUCCAUUUAGAGGUCUAUAGACAGUAUGUCUAGUUGGGUUGUAUGUGACCAUGUCGACUUUCAGUUAUUUGAUGUAUAGUUGUCUAUAGCAGCCUUGCCGGCUCACCCACUAUUUUCUGCAUGAUUAAGUACAUAUGCCUUGUUGGCAUGUUUCCUUCAUGUAUGUUACAUUCAUAAUUCAAUAGAUGUUAUACUGGUUCAUAUCCUAGAUGCAAGCUUAGGAAUGUUUGACAGGUAGGACUCAAGCACCCGUCGCGGCCCAUCGGUUUGGGUCGUGACACUCUAACUAUUAUGCCGUAACCCCCUAAAUCUCCCAUACCUCUUCGAUCCCCGAAUAUAUAUGGGGUUAUUUGGUGUUUUUCUACCCUAUCUAACCUAUUACCUCUACUGGUUGUUCGAUUCUUGCUAUUCUUUGAAGGAACCUCGAAGAGAUUCGACUCAGAGUCGACUUAGGCUCUUCGUUUUCUUAUUAACUCGCCUCUUGUUCAUCAAUGUUUGUGAGUGUUUUUGUCUUUAAGGUUAUGGUUGGAUUAUUCCCUCACCUCGUCCCCUUUUGUCAAAACCCUCAUCUUUAAACUUUGAAUCUAUUCAGAUCCUUGUAGAUCUAAAACAGUUUUAAUAUUAUACGGAAGUGUUUCUUUAAAAUCUCUUGUUCCCUCUAUCGUUAAUUGAUUUUAAUGUUCUUCCAAACAAGGGUUUCACUUCGUCUGUCUCUGCGAAGCUUUCUAAAAAAAUUGCUAUGUGUUUGAUUAUCUUUUUCCACCAGUUCCUUCAUGACUGUGUUCAUUUGCCCUUUAUUUUGGAGUAAUUGAUUGAUUACCUAAACUGUGUGGGGUUUGAAAUUUGCUUUGCUUACUAAGGUGAUUACUUCCUAUAAUUUUGUCAACUUUCCUUAUUUUGGGACUCUUAAUUGGCGUUGCUUGCCUUAAUUAUUCCUAGCAAGCUUAAUUUAUGGGCUGACUACCUUACCAACCCUAAAUUGGUCUCUAUUUUCUUGUCUUACCUUAUUUGUGUGACUAAUUGCCCUGUUACUUGAGGGAUUUUUUGUGUUCUGACUCUAAUUGGCUAUCAGACCUAUCACAUACCUUAUUUAGACCUCGAUUCCGAGUUAUUUUUAGAUAUAAUCCCAUAAUAUUUUCCUAUUGAUUGGCCUUGUCAUGCCUAAUUGAUUGACUAAUAGUUUUCUUUGCCUUAUUUGCAAACUUUUAAACUGUUUUACCUUAUUUACUCUACUCUACUCAAUACUAUAUAAGCCUCCCUCCUUUUCUUUAACACACACGCACACAGACAUAGAAAGACACACAAAGUUCUUGCUCUCAUCCUCCAUCACAACCUUCUACUCUUUGUUUGUUGCACUGUCUAGCCGGCUGGAAGCCAAAGCUAGAUCUUUGCACCCUGUUUGCUUCACUCUUGUAUUGCUAUCUCUUUACUGGUAUGCCUCCACUACUACUAUUCAGUUAAACCUAUGUGUUUCCUUGUAAUCAGCAUGUCUACUUUUGUUUAACCUAUGUGUUUCCUUGUAAUCAGCAUGUCUACUUAUGUUUAAUCAAACCUAUGCGUUUCCUACUUUAAGCAUGUUUACAUGUUUGCUUAUGUGUAAAUUAGAUCCCUGUCUAAAUGUUUCUCAACUGGCAUGUUUCUUGUCUUGUUUUAAGUGUUCACUCCUUAGCAGACUAAUAAUUUCCAUGCUCUUAAUCCCUGCUACCCCUUUGUAUAUAACUGUCUGAUUGGUAAUUUGAUCCCACCAUGCCAUGUCUCUGUUUAAUGCCUGUCCAUAUACCCACCUAGUAACAACAAGUAAACUAAGUUGAAACUUUGUUUGAGGUGAUCCUGUUUCUGCCUACUGUUUGAUUUAUGGAAUCUUUGUUUGAAUCUCAAAUGUUGAAAUGACUCUGUUUGCUCCUUACCUCCUGAAAAUUCCAAAACUAUUUUCUUAAAAAACUCUCUCCUAUUUUCAACUCCUACUCUUAGAACACCUGGGUCCUGCCCCUCCAGUGUGAGCAUUGCGUAGGAGUCCAUGAGACUCCUCUGAACUUUGACACACUAGGGCUGGCUCUGCAAAACUCACUCACAAAAAGGUUUCUUUUUAAAGGUUUUCUGGUGUGAGUAUUGCCUGGGGUCCUUGAGGCCCUUGGGAACUUUGACACACCAGGAUACCAUUGGGUGCACUAUGAGAAUAUUGGCAUGUUCAUACUUGGUUGAAGUCCAGGCUUUUCAGGUUUAUUGUUUGGGCUUAUUCAGGCUCCCUAUAGUUUAACAGUCUCAUUUUUGUAAGUCGUUCAUUCAUUUUGGGUCUGUAAUAAUAAUUCUCGUAAAACUGAUAUUGGGGACAUUAGUAAAAUGGGAGGGACUUUUAUAUAUGUUUUGUGG